rnacentral:rRNA from 1 species
CCUACGGGAGGCAGCAGUGAGGAAUAUUGGUCAAUGGACGAGAGUCUGAACCAGCCAAGUAGCGUGAAGGAUGACUGCCCUAUGGGUUGUAAACUUCUUUUAUAUGGGAAUAAAAUGUUCCACAUGUGGGUUUUUGUAUGUACCAUAUGAAUAAGGAUCGGCUAACUCCGUGCCAGCAGCCGCGGUAAUACGGAGGAUCCGAGCGUUAUCCGGCUUUAUUGGGUUUAAAGGGAGCGUAGAUGGGUUGUUAAGUCAGUUGUGAAAGUUUGCGGCUCAACCGUAAAAUUGCAGUUGAAACUGGCAGUCUUGAGUACAGUAGAGGUGGGCGGAAUUCGUGGUGUAGCGGUGAAAUGCUUAGAUAUCACGAAGAACUCCGAUUGCGAAGGCAGCUCACUGGACUGCAACUGACACUGAGGCUCGAAAGUGUGGGUAUCAAACAGGAUUAGAGACCCGAGUAGUC